rnacentral:lncRNA from 1 species
UUAAGUUCAGCGAAAGGCAACAACAAAAACAGUGACUGGGAGACAAUCAUUACAUAAGGUGCUUGUCAAGACUAUCAAGGCGUAGCGUCAUUGGCGCGUACAACUCACUAAAUCAAGGAAACCAACACAUGUAUGUCAGCUUGCUUGCUGUCCAUUGCAACCUUCGUGAAGAGUACAAGUAGAAUGCCUAAAUUGUUUGGUACUUUGAUAAUUACCUGAAACCCGUCAUCAUGUAUUGGAUACAUUGUCCACACUGCUUUGAGAGAUAAUAGACGGUAGCAUGCUAAUAUAAUAUUUUACUACCAGAUGCAUUAUGUACCUUUUUUCUAAUUCUAAUUGCCUUUUGCAGAUUCAUCCUAUUGCUUUUCAAUUUGUCAGCACGUUCAGGGUACUAACCAAGCCUAUUUCACUGAAUGUUUGGGACUUGAUUCUUCUAAGAAGCAAUUUUGUGAGUCAUCG